rnacentral:lncRNA from 1 species
UUCCCCCACCCUUUCCCCGGGAAUGGACGACGGGACCGCCGAUGGACGGCCCGUCGGCGGCACCGAGUACAGCUGGUGCCGGGCCGUGGAGGGCGGGACCGGCAUCACUGUCCUCGCCCUCCUCCUCUCCCGACCUGUCUCCCGCCCCCUCCUCGAUUCCGCUCUCCACCAGCUCCAAUCCUCCCACCCUCUCCUCCGGGCCCACCUCGUCACCGUCGCCUCCAGACACCCCUUCUUCGCCAUCGCCACCCCCCGGUCGGAAGUCCUCCGGCUCCUCUCCUCCUCCGAUCUCCUCCUGCCGCCGCCGGCAUCGGCGUCGGCGGUGUCGGUUUCGCCCUUCCACGCCCUCUUAGAGCAUGAGUUCAACCAGAACCCCUGGUCCGACGGGGGCCCGAC